AGAAGAUGACGAGCGGCGGACGGGUGAGUAAUGCUUGGGAAUAUGCCUUUUGGUGGGGGACAACAGUUGGAAACGACUGCUAAUACCGCAUGAUGUCUACGGACCAAAGUGGGGGACCUUCGGGCCUCACGCCAAGAGAUUAGCCCAAGUGGGAUUUGCUAGUUGGUAAGGUAAUGGCUUACCAAGGCGACGAUCCCUAGCUGGUUUGAGAGGAUGAUCAGCCACACUGGGACCGAGACACGGCCCAGACUCCUACGGGAGGCAGCAGUGGGGAAUAUUGCACAAUGGGCGCAAGCCUGAUGCAGCCAUGCCGCGUGUGUGAAGAAGGCCUUCGGGUUGUAAAGCACUUUCAGUAAGGAGGAAAGGUUAAGUUUUAAUAGAGCUUAGCUGUGACGUUACUUACAGAAGAAGCACCGGCUAACUCCGUGCCAGCAGCCGCGGUAAUACGGAGGGUGCGAGCGUUAAUCGGAAUUACUGGGCGUAAAGCGUACGCAGGCGGUUUGUUAAGCGAGAUGUGAAAGCCCCGGGCUCAACCUGGGAACUGCAUUUCGAACUGGCAAACUAGAGUGUGAUAGAGGGUGGUAGAAUUUCAGGUGUAGCGGUGAAAUGCGUAGAGAUCUGGAGGAACAUCAGUGGCGAAGGCGACUGUCUGGACCAAAACUGACGCUGAGGUGCGAAAGCGUGGGUAGCAAACAGGAUUAGAUACCCUGGUAG
rnacentral:rRNA from 1 species